GGGAAUGUGGCUCAGUGGUAGAGUGCUUGCCUAGCAUGCAGGAAGCCCUGGGUUUGAAUCCUCAGUACCA
rnacentral:tRNA from 1 species